rnacentral:rRNA from 1 species
GAUGAACGCUGGCGGCGUGCCUAAUACAUGCAAGUCGAGCGAACAGACGAGGAGCUUGCUCCUCUGACGUUAGCGGCGGACGGGUGAGUAACACGUGGAUAACCUACCUAUAAGACUGAGAUAACUUCGGGAAACCGGAGCUAAUACCGGAUAAUAUAUUGAACCGCAUGGUUCAAUAGUGAAAGACGGUUUUGCUGUCACUUAUAGAUGGAUCCGCGCCGCAUUAGCUAGUUGGUAAGGUAACAGCUUACCAAGGCAACGAUGCGUAGCCGACCUGAGAGGGUGAUCGGCCACACUGGAACUGAGACACGGUCCAGACUCCUACGGGAGGCAGCAGUAGGGAAUCUUCCGCAAUGGGCGAAAGCCUGACGGAGCAACGCCGCGUGAGUGAUGAAGGUCUUCGGAUCGUAAAACUCUGUUAUUAGGGAAGAACAAAUGUGUAAGUAACUAUGCACGUCUUGACGGUACCUAAUCAGAAAGCCACGGCUAACUACGUG